CCUACGGGGGGCAACAGUGGGGAAUAUUGCACAAUGGGGGAAACCCUGAUGCAGCGACGCCGCGUGAGUGAAGAAGUAUCUCGGUACGUAAAGCUCUAUCAGCAGGGAAGAAAAUGACGGUACCUGACUACUACGCCCCGGCUAACUACGUGCCAGCCGCCGCGGUAAUACGUAGGGGGCAAGCGUUAUCCGGAUUUACUGGGUGUAACGGGAGCGUAGACGGGAGCACAAGUCUGGAGUGAAAUCCCGGGGCUUAACCCCGGAACUGCUUUGGAAACUGUGCGGCUGGAGUGCAGGAGUGGUAAGCGGAAGUACUAGUGUAGCGGUGAAAUGCGUAGAUAUUAGGAGGAACACCGGUGGCGAAGGCGGCUUACUGGACUGUAACUGACGUUGAGGCUCGAAAGCGUGGGGAGCAAACAGGAUUAGAUACCCCAGUAGUC
rnacentral:rRNA from 1 species